CAGUCGCCGCGGUAAUACGAGGGGUGCAAGCGUUACUCGGAAUUACUGGGCGUAAAGCGUGCGUAGGUGGUGGUUUAAGUCCGUUGUGAAGGCCCUGGGCUCAACCUGGGAAUUGCAGUGGAUACUGGGUCACUAGAGUGUGGUAGAGGAUAGUGGAAUUUCCGGUGUAGCAGUGAAAUGCGUAGAGAUCGGAAGGAACAUCUGUGGCGAAGGCGACUAUCUGGGCCAACACUGACACUGAGGCACGAAAGCGUGGGGAGCAAACAGGAUUAGAUACCCCCGUAGUCCCUGUCUCUUAUAA
rnacentral:rRNA from 1 species